rnacentral:lncRNA from 1 species
AUUUAAUAAAUUCAUGUUUAAAAGCUGAUUAAAUUAUUUUUUUAAAAUCCUAAAAUGAGUCUGCUUCUAACAUUUUUGUAGUUGAACAUCAAAAUGAAAACAUAGUGAGGACACAACACUUCAAAUAAUUACAUAAUAUUAUGUCUUUAUUACUUGAACAUGUUUUUGAAAUUCUAAAUGCUGUAAUCAUAAUAAGCACAAAGAGUUAAAAUCACAGUUAAGGUGGCUCGUGGGUACAAAAAUUUCAGCAAAAAAUUGAACCUUUAUUUUUUCAUUACAAAUUUUAUUUAUUACACUAGUAGUUAUUACUUUAUGAUAUGGUAAAAAAAUCAGCCCCAAAAAUCGAUUCAGUUUGGCCCCAGAUGACUUUUAAAAUGUUUAUAUCAUUGAAAAAGCUCCAAAUUAUCUCCCUUUGGUGCAAAAAAUGCCAUUUUUUGGCAUUGAAUUUUAAGUAUCUUUUUUAACUCAUCGGUGACCUUUAUUUUUUAUUAUUGUUUUCAUAUAAGCUGUAUGUAAACUAAAUAAUUGUUAAAAUUUAAGCGAUUUCUGUAAUUAUGUUAUUUAUUUAUUUCGAUAUUACCUCUAUUUCUCCUAUUAGUUCAACAGAAAAAAAGGACAUUAACAAAAAGAUAUGCUUCUUCUGGAGGCAGAUUGUGAGCUUAAAUAAACGGUGACCCCAUUUUUUUAUUUCAUUUUUCUUUUAAGUAUAUGAUAAAGUUCAUUUAUAAAAAAAAUAUAGCGAAAUCCUAUAUUAGAAAAAAAAUUUGAUUUAUACCCAGGAGCCCCCUUAA